rnacentral:tRNA from 1 species
GGAGGGAUCGCAUAGUUGGUCUAGUGCGUUCGUCUUGAAAACGAAUACGCCGCAAGGCGUCGCGAGUUCGAAUCUCGCUCCCUCCG